rnacentral:lncRNA from 1 species
AGAACAUAGUAUGUAUGCUGUAGGAUGUAUUAUGCAUUCUAACUUUAAUAGCUGGGCUAAUAAUGUAAUUAAUAUUUUUUGGAUGGUAACAAAUCAAGCAGAUUUGCUAUAAGUACAUCCUGCUUAACGUGAGUGUACUGUAUAUAUAUGAUUUUUAAUCGAAGGCUUUUUCAAAUCAGUAUAAGUAUUGAAUGAUACCAGAUAGCACACCUGCUGUGACAGUCUGAUGUGUUUUGAACACAAAGCUGGAAAGUACUGAAUUCAGUUAAUCCAUUCUAUUUGUUUUGUCCAAAUUCAACAAGUUAAAAGCUUCUUUCUAUCCCUUCUUCUCUCUCCCCACCUGAUUUUUCCUAGGCAAAAGAUGGUUUGGUGUCUGAGGAGGAAGAAGAACUCAGAGAGCUUGAGGAGGAAGAGGAACAAGCUUCAGAGGAAGACUAGUGCUCUGAAGUGGAGGAUUUUGGACCUGGAUUUUCACACGCAGCUUGAAGUGACACCCCACUUGCCCUGGAGCCAUCAAAAAUCACCCACAAAUACCUUCACCGCAGCUUUGCCCAAACCAGAUGUGACACCACUGCACUGCAGAAUAUGCACUCAGGACCCCAACUUCAAGCCCCCAUGAUAACUCUGCCUUUUUGAGGUUGCAAAAUGCCUUUUUACACCAAAGUUGCUUGAGUUGCUUCAUCUUAAGUGGCAAGUUUCAAGUGAAUUUAAAAGGAUGUGUUUUUCUUACUGUACAUAUAGAAAAUAGCUUAUUGUACUACUUUUAAAACUAAUAUUUUGUGACUUUAUUCUAUAGAAUCCCAAAUAGUUGUGCCAAACCACUCAAAUGUGCCAAACUAAUACUUACAAAUACCUCUCUGUGUGUCUUAUAUUGUUCAGUAAGUACACUACCAGUCAUUUUUUGGACACUUUGCCACAGUGCUAAAUGCUAAAAGUAGACUGAACUUAUAGGAAAUUAAUAGUUAUGAACUUUCAGAUGGUUGGAGAAUAAUCUCAUAUGUUAGCUAAUUGCAUAUGAAAUGAGGGAAGUUUUUUGUUUACUUAUAAUAGUAAUAAUUAGUGCUGUCAAACGAUUAAUCGCAAUUAAUUGCAUCCAAAAUAAAAAUCUUUAUAUCAUUUAUAUUAUAAAUAAAUAAUAUUUAAUAUAUAAACAAACAUAUUUUUUUAAAAUUAGUAUACAUGCAU